AGAGCGAACGCUGGCGGAAUGCUUAACACAUGCAAGUCGCACGGUCAGCAAUGGCAGUGGCGGACGGGUGAGUAACGCGUAGGAAUAUGUCCAGAGGUGGGGGACAACCCGGGAAACUGGGGCUAAUACCGCAUAUGAGCUGAGGCUCAAAGCAGUGAUGCGCCUUUGGAGUAGCCUGCGUCCGAUUAGCUUGUUGGUGGGGUAAUGGCUUACCAAGGCGACGAUCGGUAGCUGGUCUGAGAGGACGACCAGCCACACUGGGACUGACGACACGGCCCAGACUCCUACGGGAGGCAGCAGUGGGGAAUAUUGGACAAUGGGCGCAAGCCUGAUCCAGCAAUUCCGCGUGGGUGAAGAAGGUCUUCGGAUUGUAAAGCCCGUUUCGACGGGACGAGUGAUGACGGUACCCGUAGAAGAACGCCCGCUAACUUCGCGCCAGCAGCCGC
rnacentral:rRNA from 1 species